CUGGCCACUUUGUUUACCUACUCAAGCCUCAGCAACAGUGGACGCCCCUCCCCCAGCCAGGCUGCCACCUAGCAGUUCGAUCUCAGACUGCUGCGCUAGCAGUGAGCAAGGCUCUGUGGGCGUGGGACCCACUGAGCCUGGCACGGGAGAGGAUUUCCUUGUCUGCUGGUUGCUAAGACCUUGGGAAAAGUGAAGUAUUUGGGCAGAAGUGUCCCGUUUUUUCCAGGUUCUUCAGCCUCCGUACUCUGGGACAUGCACCAGCAGCUUUCCAGGGGUUAUCAGGUCUUCAGGCACAGGCUGAAGCACUGUCGGUUUCUCUGGAUUUGAGGCUUGUGAACUUGGAUUGAGCCACUACCAGCUUCUCUCUUUCCUUGGCUUGCAGAUGGCCUAUCAUGGGACUUCACCUUGUGAUCAUGUGAGCCAAUUCUCGCUAAUAAACUCUUUCUUAUAUAUACAUAUAUCCCAUUUGUUCUGUCCCUCUGGAGAACUCUGACUAAAAGAGAUGUUGGUACCAGGGGUGGUUCUAGAGGAACAGAAUUUUAAGGAUGAAUUUCCUUAAUUGGUUUUGUCAUUUC
rnacentral:lncRNA from 10 species